rnacentral:rRNA from 1 species
AUUGAACGCUUGCGGCAGGCCUAACACAUGCAAGUCGAACGCGUGGCGGACGGGUGAGUAAUGUCUGGGACACUGCCUGAUGGAGGGGGAUAACUACUGGAAACGGUAGCUAAUACCGCAUACCAUCGGAUGUGCCCAAAUGGGAGUAGCUGGUUGGUGGGGUAAGGGCUCACCAAGGCGACGAUCCCUAGCUGGUCUGAGAGGAUGACCAGCCACACUGGAACUGAGACACGGUCCAGACUCCUACGGGAGGCAGCAGUGGGGAAUAUUGCACAAGGGGCGCAAGCCUGAUGCAGCCAUGCCGCGUGUAUGAAGAAGGCCUUCGGGUUGUAAAGUACCUUCAGCGGGGAGGCGUUACCCGCAGAAGAAGCACCGGCUAACUCCGUGCCAGCAGCCGCGGUAAUUC